GAACAAGAGCCAAUCAAAUUAUGCACUCACCCCACUCCAUCCACAAGUCACUUAAUUUCUUUUGCUUUCUAAUUCUUAACCCACAGCACCUACACACGUAAAUUAGUCAUCCAAAUAUGAAAUAUUCCCACAGCAGACAAAAAGACUUUACAGCUGUAGAGUAAUUGUUAUCAAAACACCUUACUUUAGGGAUAGAAUGGACUUCUCCACUAUUCUUGGAGAGAUAUAGAGCACCAAAGAAGAAUAGAGUUAGCAGCCCCAAAUCCUCCAUUAAAACCAGCAGUGAGCACCAGGCCACUAAAAUCCAGCUGAAACAACAUCAAAACUCCUCCAUCAAACCACCAAAAAUCAGCCAUAAAAACAGUCCCAAAACGACCUGCCAAACUCCCGUCAAAAAAUGACCUCAAAACAGCUCCAAAACGAUCUGAAAAACUGUCCCAAAACCAGCUCAAAUGAAGCUCCAAAAACGCAGCUAGAACAGCCCGGAAACUAAGCUCAAAACUGACCCUAAACCAGCCCCAAAACAGCUGUGUACGUUACUGCUGGAGCCUGGAAAAUCAGUCGCGAAACACCUCCAUAUAUAAGGUUAUCAAAAUCCCAGUCCAAAACCAUAGUCAAACCAGUCUCAUUCGAGUUUAGGUGAGGCUUCCGAUGCAAGGUUCUUUCUUCUUUGUUUGCGGAUCUGAAACAAAGUUUGCUUGAAGGUCCGUUUUCUUGUUUCAUUGGAUUUUUCAAUUCAUGAAUCUUAGGAUUUGCUUUUGGAUGAAUAAUUCUGUGCUUGAAUGCUUGUUAUUUUGAGUCUUCUUUAUGUGUUAUCUUAACUGAUUCAUGACACCAAUUUCAGUAGAUAAGUUGCUUCAUUAGUGAUUAUUAGAUCUCUGUUAAGUAGUACGUAAUAUUUAACUUUUGGAUUCUUUGAAUGAUGAUUAGUGAUUAUUGCUUGGUCUUAAGAACACUGAAUAAUGCGUUAUGGUUGAUUAACGUUAAAAUGUAAUAAUAUUGUUCACUAGUUAAUUAAUAGUUUAUCGAUUUGGAUUAGCCGACAUGGCUUUGAGUUGAAGAUAUACAUUUUGAAUGUGGAAUUUUAUAAUUGUCUCCCUUUUUUUUCUAUUAAACCGUAAACCCCUCACAAAGAGCUAACCCUUCUAUAUUUACAAAAGUUGGCGCAAUUUCAGAAGACCCAAUUAUCAAAUAGCCAUUAGAUAUAUAAAAUGUGAAGAAAAAUCGAUUAUUAAUGAGAUCCUAGUAUCAAAAUAGUUUUCUUUCAAUUCUCCAAUUGGGUUAUUGAUCUUCCUACAAAAAUGAAUUUUUGGUGUAUUUAACUUGGUUCUUAUUAGGUUCCAAUUUGGUUUGAAUGUGAAAUAUUGUUGAAAUUGAAUCCGUGUAAAUUUUCCUGUUUUUUUCCUUUUCACUUUUUGCUUCUAUAUUUUUUACUUUCUGAUACAUGAUGAAUAAAAAUGGUGAUGGUGGAUUUGGACAGUAGUUUCCAUUGUUGGUGGACCGUGGCCUUUUUUAUGGUUCAAAAAUAAUGGGAAUAGUGACUAUAAUAGUGGAGGUGGGGAAGAUGGUGUUGGAUAUCGUGUUACGGUAGCGUAGGGAUGGCACUAGGUGACAACACAUAACAGGGAUGAGUAAUUUUUUAGCCUUCCCCUCUUCGCCGCUCACUUCUCUUCUUGUUCACUGCUUCCCUCUCCCUUUUUCUCCUUGUAUUUCUUCUUCUAUUUCUUCUCUUUCGCUCUCAUAGUUUAGCAAAAAUUCUUACAAAUUAUGCAAAAAUAUUAUUGGGAUGAAAAGGUAAGGUUGAUCUCACAUCAGAGAAAAUCAAAAGCAAAAACUAAAAAAAAAUACAUUUCAACAAUGUUUUUCUUUUCUCUUCUUUUUCUUUGGUUGGAUUGAAUGAGUGUGUGAUUGAAAUUGGUUGAAAAUACCUAAACGAGGCUAUUUUUAAAAUUUGAGCAAGAUUAGAAGUGAUUUAGACUGAUUUUAGGUAAAAACUCGGACCUAAAAAUCCAACUGCGACAUGUGUAUAUCACAUUGUAUAUCGUGUACAUAAGUGUAUAUCACACAAAGGUUUUCAAGGAUGUCUAAGUAUAUCACUUUAUAUAUCGUGUAUACAACAUAAUUAUUUUAUGGACGCCCGUGUAUAUCACAUUGUAUAUCAUAUAUAUAACACAAAUUUUCAUGGAUAUACACAGGUACACAUGAUAUACAUGAGAUAUCACUGUUGUACAUAGAGAUAUACACGGGAUACAAUAGGGGAUACAUAUGUGGAGUCGUCUUGAACCUGAGUUUUCAAUCUGAAAUAUGUUACACAAAGAAGGAAAAUAAAAUUUUAAUAUACUUUUAAAAAAUAUUUGGGAGUUUUUCGGAUACUACUGAAGGAAAUAGAACCUAAUUUCUAGGAUGAUGGUUGCUAUGAGAGAAGAGAGAGAUGGGGUUUUAAAUAUUUUUUGCUAUUUUUAUGAAAAAUAAUUUUGAUGGGGCUUAUUCUUAGGAUGAACCAUUAGAAGAGAGAGAAUAACUUUAGGCUAUUAUAUUCCAAAUCCUAAAACGUUUAUUUUUUUAUGCCAAUUGUUGGACCUAAUUGUUAUGUCAUGCCAAAUCACCUUUUAAGAAAGAGUUAGAGUUGGGUUUGACAUUACUUUGAAAAUUUGGGCUUUAAAACGAUGUUUCAUAUUAGGGACAAUUGGGCCAACGUUAAUAAAUGAUCAGUUGAGCCUAAUUUUGUAAAUGAGAAAUUUUCAGAAAUGACUAUUGUUUAGUGGCUAUUAUCUUUUUAUAACUAUCAUAUACAUAAUUACUUUCCGUAGCUACCUUUCAGUUGUUAUGGUAAUAUAUUCGGUGUAUUCGAGCUACUGUAUUCAUGAAUACAGUAGCAAAAAUCGGCUAAAAAGUAGGGCAGUCCAGCUGUCAGCCGUUGAAUUCACAUGUAUUCAUGAAUACAACGUAAUAAUAGGUCUCUUCAGUUGUUUAAUAACGGAAAGCUACUAAUUUAACGGGAUACACUCCUAAUAUAACUUAUCUAAAUCAAUUAUAACACACAACAUUGUCAAUCCAAUUAAUGAGAAGAUUUAUCAGACGCUAAACAUAAAUCAAAAAAAAAAAAAAAAAGCAUUGUUCAGAGUUUCAGUCCCUCUUUCUUUUUUGAUACAGUUCGAGUUUUUUUUUUUGACAUUGUUUGAGGUUCUACUCGGAAUUGAUACAAGUAUCUACAGAAAUACUUUGAAAUUCGAUUUUCUGUAUAUGAAUACAUCAUAUAUUUAUGCCGGAUAUAACCUGUAAUAGUAACCUAUUGCAUGUAUAUUUCAUAAUAAACCUAGUGCUUGUAUUCUGCUGUAUCUAACAGUUGUGUUCAAUGUAUUCAAGUUUAUUUUUGUAUUUACAGUAUUUUAUUUAUUCCUAAUAUAUGGUAUUACUGCUUUAUUGAGUAUAUUUCAUUGGUUGUAUUCAUUAAUUUUCUAUUUGUAAUUUAAAAAUGUUAUUGUAUGAACUCAAAUACAUAUAAAUACAACAAUCAAAAAUUACUGUACAAACUAAAAAUCAGUCUAUGCCUUAUCGAAUACAUCUAAAUACAAGAAGAGAAACCCACUGUACAAACUAAAAAUCAAUAUAUGCAGACCCGAAUACAUAUAAAUACAUCUACAAUUAAGGUCAUUGCGCAUUUUUGAUCUCAUUUGGGCUUCAAUGGUUGCUGAUGAACCUACAAAUACAAUUCCAUUAUUAUAUGUGAAUGGUUUAACCCAUUUCCCCAAACCUAAUCCUAAUCUCAUUAGCCGUUGCCACCCUCUCCUCUGUCCUUUCCUCUUCCAUGUCAACAUUCAAAAUCAAUUCAGCUAUGAACUGACCAUGUCAGCUCCACUUUGGGAAAAGAUACAACUCAUAUCAGAAAACUUUGAUCAAGACAUUUUGAAACUCAUGUUAACAGAGAUGAAAUCCAGCAAAUCGAGAUCAAGAGUUUGAGAACAAUCUAGAGAGAGAACUGCAAAUAAAGGAGAAUCGUGGUUCAACAAUGGGGAAGACAAUGGCGCUGUGAGAGAGAGAUCGUGCAGAGAGAAAUAAGAUACGGUGAUUUUGGGAGAGAAUAAACUAAAAGAAUGAGAGAGAAAUAUUAGAUAGCGUAUUUAAUGGCUUAACGGUAGGAAGUGACCAUAAAUACAUAUUUUGCUAUAAAAAGCAAAAGGGAGCUAUAGUAAAUAAUAUUUUAAAAGAAUUUUUAUUUAUAAUAAAUAGGGUGUAAAACUUUGCUAUAUGAGGUAAACUUUCCUUGGUAAAUAGAUAGAAUAGUAAGAACUUUUAAGUUGUAAAUAAUUUUUAGUGAUUAAAUCUAUAUUUUUCCACAAUUUUACUUCCAUAAUUCUCAUGCCUCACAAUAAUCUCAAACUUAGAAAAUAACUCAUAAAUGCGUUAGAAUGCUUUAGGCGUACUCUUAAUUAAUCAAAUCAUCGUGAUUAUGUAUACGUUCGUAUGACAUAAUUAUGACUCCCAAAAUUAAAAUCAAGGUAUGCGUUCGCGCAACUUUAGGCGAAUCAAUCUUAACAAUAAUAAAGUGUUAUUAGUUGUGUACACGUACACAUGACGUGACUUUGACAUACCAAAUUAAACAAAUACACACAUGUGAUUCGUUUCAAAGAUAAUUCCAUAAUUAUAAUAACCAUGUAAUCUAAAAGCUGUAAAAGAUAAAAAUACGUAAAAACCCUUAAAACAUAUAAAUCUUCAGACUAAUCAAGCCAAGUAUAAAUUGUUAAUUGACCGUGCUAAAAUCACGGAACUCGGGAGCGCUUCACACCUUCUCCUGGGUUAACAGAAUUUUUUACCCGAUCUUUUGUGUUUCACAGACCGUAAUUCAGAGUCAAAACUUCCUUGAAUAGGGAUUAAAUAAAACCACUGGCUUGGAAUAUCGUAAUUAAAUAAUUUCAAGUGGCGACUCUUUAAAAUUAAUUAAAAUACAAUUCUAUUUUAAAUAAUGUCACUUUAAUUGAAAAAACUCUUUUCUUUUCACAAUCCUCGGAAAAAAGGAGGCGUGACAAUAGCAACAACAAGGUAAAAGGCAGUGGCAGCAAAUGGCGAAACAUGUAAUAACCAAAAUCGAGGAAUACGAGAAUACAAGACUAGUAUCAACUAUUGGUAAUAGUGACGCACCGUGUAGUAAUAAGGAACUAGGAAUAGAAAAAUACAAGACUUGUGCUAAUACUACUAAUAGGACAAGGAGAAAUUCUUGACACAUAGUUUGACGAGGGCAAAACACAACACAUAAUUAAUACUCGCUAAUCAAAGAUAGUAUAAUAAAUUAUUAUCUCCACAAAGAUUGAAUUCAAACAGUGUUUGAAUAAUCUUUAGUUAAAUACUAUCCAGAAAAAUUAACACUUGAUUUGAAUGAUUAUCAACUAUAAUUAGCUACUAAAAUUUAAGCAAUUAUCAAUUGAUCACAGAGGACAAAAGUUGAGCAACACAAAAUAUAAGUGAGAGAAAUAGAUAAAUGACUAGACAGGUGCAAGAUAAUUGAUUCGGGGUCCAAUUCUUAAAUUAGUUCACUCUAUAAUACUGUCGAUUCUCACGAAUUCACCAGAUAAUUAAAUUACACUCGAUGUUAAGGUUCCUCUUUCGAUUAAACUUUAAUUUCUAGAAAUAAUCCAAUUGAAGCACGAUGAAUAAUUGUAAUGAACAUAAUGAUGCUUUCUGUUCAAAGAGUAACUUCUCACGAAUAUUACCCUAUUUUUUGGUUCAAUUAAUAAUUCAAGAGGCUCUUUCGAUUACCUAGUUGAAUCACAAAUUUAAACUAGAGCAUAAGAAGUAAAGAAAUUCGAUAUAAAACUCCUCUUUCGAUUAAGCCAAAUACUGAACAACUUCACAAUAUAAUUCAAACUCCAUCAAUUAAGUCAACCAAUUGUUUAGAAUCGAAUCCCUAAUCGAAUUAUUAAUACACCAUGUCUGUUAACACCCAAAGAAAAACUACUCCAUGUCAAUGGAAAAAUUCAUCUCAAGAAGGUUUAAAGACAUUGAAAACAUCAAUGCUAAUAAUUCGAUACAAACUCCCGUAUUGCACCGAUUAUAGGUUGAAAUCUUGAUGAAUUCUUGUGUCAUCUUGCCUUAGUUGCUUCUCAAAUCUUUCGUAGGUCAAAAGUCACCUCAAAUCAUGUUUUGGUGUAUUUAUACCAUGUAGAAGCGGGUCCAGACGGAACUACCCUUUCCUAGUCGAAUUGAAAAAUUACUCUAAGGAAAAUACACGGGUGCGGAGCGCCUCGCGGCAUGCCACGCGCCGCGUUAGUGGGCAUCUUCAGAGAACAGAUUCUGACAAGCUUUUCCCAAUUGAAUGUCGCGCCUCGCCGCGCCCCAUGCGGAGCGAUAGUGCUUUUUUCUUAGAGUGUUCCUUUUUAUUAAUUUUUUGUUAUCCAUACUUGGUCAUCGACCCCCGAACGCGAUUCCAGUUUAAUUCCUUGGGCUUUUACUCAGACUUCAAAGCUCUAAUUUGUUUGAUUCAGCUCCAAAUUAACUUUUUAACUCAAAAUCAAUUCCUUCGAGGCAUAAAACACGUAAUAAAUGCAAAUCACCAUCGUUUAAGCUCAAACACAAGUAAAAUGCAGUAAUUAGAGUGUAAAAUGCAGCUAAAACACGAGUUUCUAACCUACCAUCAACUAAAUGUCAACCCACAACCUUAAUUCUAGACAUUCACACUUUUAUGUCGAGGGUCAUGUCCUCGGUAAGCUGAGGUAGUGUCAUAUCCUUCCAAAUCACUCCUCCCUUAUAUUUUUUAGGCCUCCCUCUACCCCUCCUCUGACCCGUCACGGUCAACCUCUCACACCUCGUGACCGGGACAUCGGAGCAUCUUCUCUUUACAUGUCCGAACCAUAUCAGCCUCAAUUCUCGCAACUUGUUCCACAAGAGCGACACUCACCUGGUCCCUAAUAACUUCAUUCUUGAUCUUGUCUUUCCUGGUAUGCUCCCACAUCCAACUUAACAUCUUCAUUUCUAUUAUUGCCAAGGGAAGUGUAGGUUCAAUUCUCUUUAGCCUCAAAGGUUUUAACAAAAAUUGCUCGCUUAAAUAUGUUCAAGAAAUACAAUGUCUAGGUCGAGCCUUGAGCCUACGGCCUUUAUAAGCCCAAAUAUGAGUUUGACCAGUGGACCAAGAAGUACUAUUUUCUAGGAAUAAGCGGUGCCAUUAUUAUAUAUUGCUUCAUUUUUACAGAAUAUUAGUAUAAAUAUUUAUUAUUUUUCCCGGCGAAGCGACGUCAGAUGACACCGCCCCCACCUUGUGCAUCUGCCCCUGGUAGUAGUACAAUUGAAAUCUCAUUCACUACUGUGCUCUUGCGUUGAACCAAGCAUAGGAGGUAUACUCUGUUCAUGUCGAAAAACAUUUAGUGGAUCAAUUUGUGUCUUAGCUUUAACCAACCUAUCAUAGUUAUGCAAGAAAUACAUUUCACCCCACGCUCUAGCUCUCUCCACAGCAUCAACAGAGGAAGAAGAACUACGACUACUAGCAUUUCGCAGUAAGUAGUCGUCGUCCAUAUUCACUCCAAGAUCCAUAUCCAAGUAGUUGAUAUAAGCUCCCCUUGGCGAGCUUGAAACAAAAGGCGCCAUUUUAUUGUAAAAUCCCCUUGUCCACUCUAUGUACUCGUUGCUCUUGGCAUCGUCCUCUUCGUUCCAAAAUGCAUAAUAUUGAACCGCGAAAAGGUUACCCUUUCGAUGAGGGAAAGCAAUAGCUUGAUCACUAAUCUUGUCCAUGACUCCGCCAUAAGGAUCGAAGACAAGGAAUGACUUGGGGUUUUUCUCGAGUUCAACAAGAGCUGUCAUCAUCGCGUCCAUUGAAAAUGGAGUCUUCACAAAAUCUGAUUUGCCUUUGAAGAAAGUUUUUGCGUCCAUGUAGCGUUCUUUCAAACGGGAGAUAUCGUCAGAGGAGUUCCCGAAUACGUUAUCUAAUUCGGAAAAGAAAAGUGCUGACUCAAUCCAAGUCAUUUCUUUGGCGUCAUCAUUCUUAGCGUCCAGCUCUGGAAAUGCCUCAUUUAAUAUGGAAACCGCUUCAGUUUUUGGACCCAAAUAAAGUGCAUUGAAUUGGGGAAAUGUUUCAAUAGGAGUAGUAUUUCCGUAAUUCAUAUCCGCCCGCAGAUCUAUAGGUCUCAUGAGUACUCCUAGAGUAAAAUCAUCGGCCAAAUUUGGAGUAACUAUUUGCCAUUUCUGAAGUAGUUGAGCCACGUAUUGUUUGGAUCCAGGCCUAUAGAUCAUACAAGUUGUUACGAUUUUAGGCACUUUGAGUAAUCGAAUUUUCCAGGCAUAAAUAAUUCCCCAAUUUCCACCGCCGCCACCUCUGAUUGCCCAAAAUACGUCUUCUCCCAUGGCUUUCCGGUCUAAUAACCGUCCUUCAGCAUCAAUUAGAAGAGCAUCAACGACACUAUCAGCAGCGAGUCCGAAUUUUCUGGACAUUAGUCCAAAGCCGCCACCUGAAAUAUGACCUCCAGAUCCUACUGUUGGUCCCGAACCUGCUGAAAAUGCAUGAACGUCACUAACCCUGGAAAUGGCGUAAUAAAUUUGGCCAAUUGUUGCGCCGCCCUGAGCCCAAGCUGUUUCGGAAUCCAAAUCUACUGAAACGUCGUCUAAUUUCAUCAAGUCAACGAUCACGAAAGGGGAACCGUCAAAGGAAACGUAAGAAGUUCCCUCGUAACUGUGUCCUCCGCACCUUACUCUGAUUUCAUAAGAUGUUUGUCUGCAACAAAGAAUGGUACUCACGAGCUCCUCUUUGCUGUUUGGUAGGAUAAUGACCGUUGGUUUCGGCAUGUAAGAUGCAGCAAAUCGAAGAUUCUGAAGGGAAAAAUCGAGCAAGUUAAAGUAAUUACUACUACUUUGAUCAUUCUUUGUGGGGUAAAUAGAGAAGUUAUGGACAUUGUGGUUGAUUAAACAGGUGGAAAGAUUUGUAACUCCUCCUGCUCCACUAGUAACACUAGCAAAGAGGAAAGUAAAUGAAAAGCUGAUCAGAAUUAUGAUUGGAAACAUGUUGUAUGUAUCUCUUCCAACUAUUUUCCUUUACUUCCAAUUAACUUGGCAUACAUAUAUAUAGUAGACAUGAGCAGUUUGAGAACAAAAAGAUGGGAGUAAUAUUGAAAAGUUCAGGUGGGCUAAAGGGGCAUCACGUGCUUUACGGAGUGCUUAUAACUUAUCCUUACUCAAAUCUUGAACACUUGACAUAUGUGACAUAUAUAUAGUCCUAUCAUAAAACCAUAAUUAAUUAAUAAAUAAUUUCACCUUAAUUUAAGGG
rnacentral:lncRNA from 1 species